rnacentral:misc_RNA from 1 species
AGCAGCCGCGGUAAUUCCAGCUCCAAUAGCGUAUAUUAAAGUUGUUGCAGUUAAAAAGCUCGUAGUUGAAUUUCGGAAUCAGUUCGUCGGUCGUGCCUUUGGUAUGUACUGGUGUUACUGGUUCCUCCCUUCUGACGAACCGUCAUGUCAUUAAUUUGGUGUGGCGGGAAAUCAGGACUGUUACUUUGAAAAAAUUAGAAUGUUUAAAGCAGGCUCGCGCUUGAAUACAUUAGCAUGGAAUAAUGAAAUAGGACGUUCGAUCCUAUUUUGUUGGUUUCUAGGAUUGACAUAAUGAUUAAUAGGGAUAGUUGGGGGCAUUAGUAUUCAAUUGUCAGAGGUGAGAUUCUUGGAUUUAUUGAAGACUAACUGCUGCGAAAGCAUUUGCCAAGGAUGUUUUCAUUAAUCAAGAACGAAAGUUAGGGGAUCGAAGACGAUCAGAUACCGUCGUAGUCUUAAACCAUAAACUAUAGCCGACUAGGGAUCGGAUGAUGUUAAUUUUUAAU